AAAGCCAGGGCGGCCAUUUCAAUUCCACUGCACCAAACGAACAAGCCAGAAAAGAAAAAACUGAAACACUCUACAAGGAGACCACGAAAACGAAAGAAUGAAGACCUGAGUAAACAAAACGACGAGGGAAAGAAAAGAUCAAAGUGGGUACAUGACCCGAGCAUCCCUUUCCACCUGAACCGUUACAGCUCGAGGAGCCUCUUCAACCCAAAACUUGUCACCAGAGGACCUUUCAUCUUCCAACGCCAACAAAUGUUCCGCUUAGUUGCUCAAACGAGUGAUGAAAGAAAAUGAGUACGCAUGUAUAUCCCGAGCUCGAACCUUUGCAUCCCAAAUGUAAGUGCUAAUCUCAGACGAGUCUCUAUCAUUCGAGUUAAGCUUACUGAUUACCGAUCUAGAAUCACCUUCAAUUACUGCCCAAAAACCCAAAUUGGUUACCAGGUCUAAGGCAUGCACCGCCGCAAAGGUAGAGGUAAUGUUUUGAAGUUUCCUUUUGCUAGCUCUCAUAAUUUGCCAUUCACAGUUCCUCACUAUUACCCCUGACCACCCCUUAUUCUGUUUUGGAUCAAAACUAGCGUCAAAGUUUACCUUUACCUAGUCGGGGAGGAGGACGCCAAGGGACUUAAACACUGGACACAGAAGGCCUAGUUGGCUGAUUUGCAAGAUUAAACUCAUGGCAAUGAGUACAAAUGAAGAUAUUAUGCCUAAGAGAAAAUUAAGUGAUGUGAGAAUUGUUCAGGCUCUUCAAGAGGAGGAAGACAAAAAUAAUGAACCAAUUGGUGGUGGAGCUUCGAAAGUUCCAAAUAUAGGUGAAGAAAUUGUAGAAAUUAAAGCUGAAAAUGGUCAUAAUAGGUGUAAGACUAGAGGUCGCACGAUAAUGAAAUAAUUAUAUGAACUUCCUCUUGGGGAUCGUGUAAAAGUUUCGAGUAACAAUGUCGGCCAACUUAUUGAGAAGAAGCAAGUGUUUUGGCUGGUUACUUAGGCGUGAUUGCGCGCAAUGCUAAUCUUCUACUGAUCAAUUUUCAGUCAUGGCAUGUGAUGUCGAAUAGUAACAAAAACCAAUUUGUGGAUUGU